rnacentral:rRNA from 1 species
GAAACAGUUGCUAAGAGAUGAUAGGAAAUAAAAAAGGCAUCUUUUUUAUUUUUAAAAGACUUUUUCGGAAGGUAUGCUUAAAGAGGGGCUUGCGUCACAUUAGUUAGUGGCAGGGUAAGGCCUACCAAGACUAUGAUGUGUAGCUGGACUGAGAGGUUGAACAGCCACAUUGGGACUGAGACACGGCCCAAACUCCUACGGGAGGCAGCAGUAGGGAAUUUUCGGCAAUGGAGGAAACUCUGACCGAGCAACGCCGCGUGAACGAUGAAGUAUUUCGGUAUGUAAAGUUCUUUUAUUGAAGAAGAAAAAAUAGUGGAAAAACUAUCUUGACGAUAUUCAAUGAAUAAGCCCCGGCAAACUAUGUGCCAGCAGCCGCGGUAAUACAUAGGGGGCGAGCGUUAUCCGGAAUUAUUGGGCGUAAAGGGUGCGUAGGCGGUUUAAUAAGUCUAUAGUUUAAUUUCAGUGCUUAACACUGUCCUGCUAUAGAAACUAUUAGACUAGAGUGAGAUAGAGGCAAGUGGAAUUCCAUGUGUAGCGGUAAAAUGCGUAAAUAUAUGGAGGAACACCAGAGGCGUAGGCGGCUUGCUGGGUCUUUACUGACGCUGAGGCACGAAAGCGUGGGGAGCAAACAGGAUUAGAUACCCUGGUAGUCCACGCCGUAAACGAUGAGUACUAAGUGUCGGGAUUACUCGGUACUGAAGUUAACACAUUAAGUACUCCGCCUGAGUAGUACGUACGCAAGUAUGAAACUUAAAGGAAUUGACGGGACUCCGCACAAGCGGUGGAUCAUGUUGUUUAAUUCGAAGAUACACGAAAAACCUUACCAGGUCUUGACAUACUCUGCAAAGCUAUAGCAAUAUAGUGGAGGUUAUCAGAGAUACAGGUGGUGCAUGGUUGUCGUCAGCUCGUGUCGUGAGAUGUUAGGUUAAGUCCUAAAACGAGCGCAACCCUUGUCAUUAGUUGCCAGCAUGUCAUGAUGGGCACUUUAAUGAGACUGCCAAUGAAAAAUUGGAGGAAGGUGAGGAUCACGUCAAAUCAUCAUGCCCCUUAUGAUCUGGGCUACAAACGUGAUACAAUGGCUGUUACAAAGAGUAGCUGAAACGCAAGUUUAUAGCCAAUCUCAUAAAAGCAGUCUCAGUUCGGAUUGAAGUCUGCAACUCGACUUCAUGAAGUUGGAAUCGCUAGUAAUCGCGAAUCAGCAUGUCGCGGUGAAUACGUUCACGGGGUUUGUACAAACCGUGCGUC